CUCACUUCUACACAACCAGUCAGAGGCUGGGCUGUGCUGGGCUGGAAGGAGGCCCAAGUGUCCUGUCACACAGGCCUCUGCUCAUGUGUAUUUCAGCUGUGCCCAGUGGUCCGAUUCUGGAUGCACAUCAUCAAUCAACAGUUGAGCUUCCUAAAACAUGUCCAGUCCUUUGGCUUGUUUAGGAACCUCCACUCUCCUUUCUCCAGGCUGCCCACAUCAUCUGAGCCGUAUUACUGCCUGGACUUUCAGUCAAAGCUAUGGCUUUUCCAGUAGUCACGUAUGGAUGUGAGAGUUAGACUAUGAAGAAAGCUGAGCACCAAAGAAUUGAUGCUUUUGAACUGUGGUGUUGGAGAAGACUCUUGAGAGUCUCUUGGACUGCAAGGAGAUCCAAUCAGUCCAUCCUAAAGGAG
ensembl:lncRNA